CUGGGGGAUAGCCUUCCGAAAGGGAGAUUAAUACCGCAUAACAUAAUUGAGUGGCAUCACUUGAUUAUCAAACGUCAGGGUUGAAGAUGGGCAUGCGUCCGAUUAGUUAGUUGGUGAGGUAACGGCUCACCAAGGCUACGAUCGGUAGGGGAUCUGAGAGGAUGGCCCCCCACACUGGUACUGAGACACGGACCAGACUCCUACGGGAGGCAGCAGUAAGGAAUAUUGGUCAAUGGACGGAAGUCUGAACCAGCCAUGCCGCGUGCAGGAAGACGGUCCUCUGGAUUGUAAACUGCUUUUGUUAGGGAAGAAACUUCCGUACGUGUACGGGACUGACGGUACCUAAAGAAUAAGGAUCGGCUAACUCCGUGCCAGCAGCCGCGGUAAUACGGAGGAUCCAAGCGUUAUCCGGAUUUAUUGGGUUUAAAGGGUGCGUAGGCGGCGUUGUAAGUCAGUGGUGAAAGUUUGCAGCUUAACUGUAAAAUUGCCAUUGAUACUGCAGUGCUUGAGUACAGAUGAGGUGGGCGGAAUGUGUCAUGUAGCGGUGAAAUGCAUAGAUAUGACACAGAACACCGAUUGCGAAGGCAGCUCACUAAACUGUAACUGACGCUGAGGCACGAAAGCGUGGGGAUCAAACAGGAUUAGAUACCCUGGUAGUCCACGCCCUAAACGAUGAUUACUCGAUGUUAGCGAUACACAGUUAGCGUC
rnacentral:rRNA from 1 species